ensembl:lncRNA
CCCCGUUGCAUUUGUAAGCAUGUGUCCAGAGGAGUAUGAGUGAGUAUCUGCAGAGUAUCUCCUGUCAUUCUCUGAUUUAGUUUAAAUCUAUUUUCAUCUCUUCAUCCACUAAACGACAUCAGUGAAUACAAGCAGUGUAUUCGCUCUUAAUAUGCAGAGGCCACAAUUAAAAUGUAUGAAUGUUGUUGUAUUACAUGCUAAAUAUUAAACCAGUUAGCAGCGCUACUCAAAUGCUGCACUGAUAUCACUAAAAUAAAUAUAUAUAUUUUUUUUUUUUGCUGUUUUGUUGCAGUGAUUUUUAAUGGAUGCAUAAUGUCAAUUCUCCUUUCAAGUUUAGGCUUAAAAAGUUGUGCUUAUACCAACUUUCUUUUACAUAAACACCACUUGGUUUGAUAUUUUAACUAAUGUUAUGGCGUUUGGAGUGUGCCUUAAGUGUCCACUGUAGAUACAACAGGAAAGGUUUUUUAUGUGGCAACACUGAAAAGAUUUUGAUUGCAGUCCGUAUCCACUAAUGAGCAGGUUUUUAUAAUAAAGCAUCUCUUUUUCUCACCCUAUUACAAGUACGUUUUCUUUUAAGCUACGUUGUUUUGCCUCUUUCCUUAACAAGUUGUUUUGUUGAAUUGAAUAUUUCAUCUUGACAGCUGCAGGGAAAUACAAAAGAAAAUGCUUCAGACAUUUACACAUUUUACAGUUGGGUACAUGCAUCACACUGAACUUUCACUCUUCAUUUUUAGGUCGACACAGAACAACAGAGAAUCCAGCACCAUCUUACCUGUAGCAGAAUCUCACCUGUCAACAGGAAAAAUUAGUGCAGAUGACAUCCACACUCAGACUGAUGAGAGAGCAGCUCCAUGUGCACAUCAGAACUCAUCCGACACUGAGAUGAUGAUGAUGAUGAAUGAGCUGGAACCUUCUCAGAGUCUGGAGGCGGACAGAUCCGAGGAUGUUUUUGGCAACUUCACAUGAGAUUCUUCAAUCAGAUGAGAUAGUGGUGGCCUGGGAUCUGAAGUUUGAGUUCUUUGCAUUAGAUUUCAUCUUACAUCAGCCAUGUAAGAGCAUCUCACACCCCACACCGAGAUGACUGAUGGCGUUUUAGUGUGACAAGACUUUCAUCAUCGCUGUAUUCUGCUCCUCAAACUGACAAGAGCUAGAGUCGACCGCAGUGCAGAUGUGUUUGUUUAUCUGUGAGCUGUUCGCUAGAGGAUAACCGUAUAGACAGAUCACUCGCCGAUCAGACCCCACGCGACUUCCUCCCAGAGAGACUGCCAUCAUGCUUUAAAAUGUACACAUUCUCUGACCAUGACAAUCAGUUCUGAGCAAUGCAAAGCCUGCUUUAAAGGAAUAGUAUACCCAAAAAAGAAAAUUAGCUGAAAAUGUACUCACCCUCAGGCCAUCCAAGAUCUAGAUGAGUUUGUUUCUUCAUCAGAUUUGGAGAAAUGUAGCAUUCCAUCACUUGCUCACCAACAGAUGCUCUGCAGUGAAUGGGUGCCGUCAGAAUGUGAGUCCAGAAAAAAAACAUCACAAGCAAUCCACACCUGCCCAUCAAUUAUCAUCUUGUGAAGUGAAAAGCAGUGUGUUUGUAAGAAACAAAUCCAUCAAGGAGCUUUAAUUUUAAUUAGUUGUAAACUCAUCUACAUAUUACGCUGCACUGUUGUCUAUCUAUAGGGCAAAAGCAGCAAGAAUUUGAAAAGGAAUCGCACCAGUGGAGUGUUUCUUUUCUGAUUCCAU